UGGGGAAUAUUGCACAAUGGGCGAAAGCCUGAUGCAGCGACGCCGCGUGAGGGAUGACGGCCUUCGGGUUGUAAACCUCUUUCGCUCAUGGUCAAGCCGCAGCUUUGGGUUGUGGUGAGGGUAGUGGGUAAAGAAGCGCCGGCUAACUACGUGCCAGCAGCCGCGGUAAUACGUAGGGCGCGAGCGUUGUCCGGAAUUAUUGGGCGUAAAGGGCUUGUAGGCGGUUGGUCGCGUCUGCCGUGAAAUCCUCUGGCUUAACUGGGGGCGUGCGGUGGGUACGGGCUGACUUGAGUGCGGUAGGGGAGACUGGAACUCCUGGUGUAGCGGUGGAAUGCGCAGAUAUCAGGAAGAACACCGAUGGCGAAGGCAGGUUACUGGGCCGUUACUGACGCUGAGGAGCGAAAGCGUGGGGAGCGAACAGGAUUAGAUACCCUGGUAGUCCACGCUGUAAACGUUGGGCACUAGGUGUGAGGCUCCUUUCCGGGGGUUUUGCGCCGUAGCUAACGCAUUAAGUGCCCCGCCUGGGGAGUACGGCCGCAAGGCUA
rnacentral:rRNA from 1 species